rnacentral:rRNA from 1 species
CACGUAGUUAGCCGGGCUUCUUAAUCAGGUACCGUCAUCUUCUUCCCUGCUGAUAGAGCUUUACAUACCGAAAUACUUCUUCACUCACGCGGCGUUGCUGCAUCAGGGUUUCCCCAUUGUGCAAUAUUCCCCACUGCUGCCUCCCGUAGGAGUUUGGGCCGUGUCUCAGUCCCAAUGUGGCCGGUCACCCUCUCAGGUCGGCUACUGAUCGUCGCUUUGGUGGGCCGUUACCCGCCAACUGGCUAAUCAGACGCGGGUCCAUCUUAUACCACCAGAGUUUUUCACACACUACCAUGCGGUACUGUGCGCUUAUGCGGUAUUAGCAGUCAUUUCUAACUGUUAUCCCCCUGUAUAAGGCAGGUUACCCACGCGUUACUCACCCGUCCGCCGCUCAGUCAUGCAGGAUUCCAUCCGAAAACUUCCUCCUGUAUGCUUCGCUCGACUUGCAUGUGUUAGGCACGCCGCAGCGUUCAUCCUGAGCCAGGACUACAAA